rnacentral:sRNA from 1 species
GGAGACGGCUGCAUCAGUUCACGUUAAGGAGGAUCUCUGGAGUGCCAGGCCUGGGGAACCGAGAGGCCCGCGCCUUGGGAAAUGGAGUCCAAGCGGGCAUCUCUCCUGCCUUCAGGUGGAGCUGGAGGAGACAGUGUUGCGGCGCCAGGCUGCGGUGCGGACGCUGGGCCAGCAAGCCAGGGUUUGGUUGGUGCGGGUGCUGCUCAACCUGCUGGUGGUCGCGCUCCUGGGGGCAGCCUUCUAUGGCGUCUACUGGGCUACGGGGUGCACCGUGGAGCUGCAGGAGAUGUCCCUUGUCCAGGAGUUGCCACUGCUGAAGCUUGGGGUGAAUUACCUUCCGUCCAUCUUCAUCGCUGGGGUCAACUUUGUGUUGCCGCCCGUGUUCAAGCUCAUUGCUCCACUGGAGGGCUACACUCGGAGUCGCCAGAUCGUUUUUAUCCUGCUCAGGUUCCAGCCUCAUGGGCAUGGCUGGGAAUGAUGAAGGGUGGGGGCGGUCAGAGGGAUGUUGGCACUGACAGGACCGUGUUUCUCCGCCUGGCCUCCCUGGUGGUCCUGCUCUUCUCUCUCUGGAAUCAGAUCACUUGUGGGGGCGACUCCGAGGCUGAGAACUGCAAAACCUGUGGCUACAAUUACAAAGAACUUCCGUGCUGGGAGACUGUCCUGGGCCAGGAAAUGUACAAACUUCUGCUCUUUGAUCUGCUGACUGUCUUGGCAGUCGCGCUGCUCAUCCAGUUUCCUAGAAAGCUCCUCUGUGGCCUCUGUCCUGGGGCGCUGGGUCGUCUGGCGGGGACCCAGGAGUUCCAGGUGCCCGACGAGGUGCUGGGGCUCAUCUACGCGCAGACGGUGGUCUGGGUGGGGAGUUUUUUCUGCCCUUUACUGCCCCUGCUUAACACGGUCAAGUUCGUGCUGCUUUUCUACCUGAAGAAGCUUACCCUCUUCUCCACCUGCUCCCCGGCUGCCCGCACCUUCCGGGCCUCCACGGCGAAUUUCUUUUUCCCCUUGGUCCUUCUCCUGGGUCUGGCCAUCUCCAGCGUUCCCCUGCUUUACAGCAUCUUCCUGAUCCCGCCUUCUAAGCUGUGUGGUCCAUUCCGGGGACAGCCGUCCAUCUGGGCCCAGAUCCCUGAGUCUAUUUCCAGGCUCCCUGAGACCACCCAGAACUUCCUCUUCUUCCUGGGGACCCAGGCUUUUGCUGUGCCCCUUCUGCUGAUCUCCAGCAUCCUAAUGGCGUACACUGUGGCUCUGGCUAACUCCUACGGACGCCUCAUCUCUGAGCUCAAACGUCAGAGAGAGACGGAGGCGCAGAAUAAAGUCUUCCUGGCACGGCGCGCUGUGGCGCUGACCUCCACCAAACCGGCUCUUUGACCCCCGCAGCCCACGUCCCACUUUCAGACCCCAGGCCCAUUGUCACAACAUCUGUAAACUAGGAGAACUAGAGAAGACUCCACGCCCUUCCAGCUUUGGUAUCUGGAGAUUUCCAGGGCCCCUCGCCGCCACGUCCUUGACUCUCGGGUGAUCUUCCUUGUAUCAAUAAAUACAGCCGAGGUUGCUGA